GCUCUUGUAGCUUAGUUGGUUAGAGCACUCGUUUGGUAAGCGGGUGGUCUUGAGUUCAACUCUUGGUAAGAGCA
rfam:Ipomoea nil DNA, scaffold: scaffold0681, cultivar: Tokyo-kokei standard.